UCCUUGGUGGCUAAAUAGUAAAGAAUCUGCCUGCAAUGCAGGAGACCCAGGUUGAAUCCCUGGGUGGGGAG
rnacentral:tRNA from 1 species